rnacentral:rRNA from 1 species
UACGGAGGGGGCUAGCAUUGUUCGGAAUUACUGGGCGUAAAGCGCACGUAGGCGGCUUUGUAAGUUAGAGGUGAAAGCCCGGAGCUCAACUCCGGAACUGCCUUUAAGACUGCAUCGCUUGAACGUUGGAGAGGUAAGUGGAAUUCCGAGUGUAGAGGUGAAAUUCGUAGAUAUUCGGAAGAACACCAGUGGCGAAGGCGACUUACUGGACAACUGUUGACGCUGAGGUGCGAAAGCGUGGGGAGCAAACAGG